rnacentral:Y_RNA from 1 species
GGUUGGUCCAAGUGCAGUGGUGUUUACAACUAAUUGAUCACAACCAGUUACAAAUUCCUUUGUUCUUUCUCCACUCCCACUGUUUCACUUAACCAGGCUUAA